UCUUUGUCCCCGCACGUCGGUUUCCCGGCCCCGUUGCGGCGGCCGGGAAUGAAAAGGGAAUACCGUGCGAAUCGGUAACAAUUCCCGUUGCUGUGUGCUCCGGCCCUGCUGCUUCGAAGCUGCGGGGCAUCGGCCGACCUCUUUGUGCCACUGGCUCCGCGGAGUCGGGAAGGCGUCGGUCGUGGAGCGAGUCAGAAGACCUGCCGCCGUGCCUGUGCGAAU
rnacentral:ncRNA from 2 species